UCGUGUGGUGGCUUCGGAUCAGCGACCAGCGUCGACGACGCGCCGCAGGUAGCACAGGAGCAGCAGAAGGAGAGAGGUUUGGCCUUCUGGAGAGCGCGGUGCGGUGUGGGGAUGAUGAAAUGGGAGAGGGCGGCGAGAUGAGGUCUAGAGCUCCAGGUGGCGCGCCCAGGCGAACGGCAGGCUCUCCAAAGUGAAAUACGGUGAAACACACUGACACCUGUUACCUCACUAACGACGGGAGAAAGACACUCAGUGGUACCCUUCGUCACUUCGUCUCUGUGGACGAUUCCGUUUGUUCCGUAGGCGUGGAGUCCUCGUCGUCGGUGGACGAUGAAGCUCAUGACGUUGUGGCUGUCAAAUGGGUCUAACCUGGUCGAAAGUCCCUAUAGGAGGUUAAGGUGGUGUACCCAAGAAAGGGAGAGGACACCACAGUUUGGGUGUCCCAGUAGGUAUGUACACCCCUGGAGUCGGAUACUACGGUGGUAUACCCUGAGGUGGUAUACAGUAUAUGGGAGGACCUCCUUAAAUACGAGUGGGUAGUUACGCUGGCCCACGUGUGGGUAAACGAGGGAUAUGAUACUGAAGAGGUUUGCCGUUAGGACUACGACGACCUUGAUGGUAGUGACGACGAUGACGACCACCACUUUGUUUACCGUUUAGGAGACUUCCUUUUCUUUUUUCAGGGUAAUUUUCUAGGUUUCCUUCAAACCCAUCGAACUUGUACUAAUGUCCCUUUUUGACACAGCUUGUACCAUUCUGGAGUCCCCGUAGUCGGUUACCUUGGUAGAGAGUUUCACCCCUUUCACCUUCACUUUCAAGUUCACUCCCUUCACUUCGCUUAAGAGUCUUACUAAGUGUUGUGUUCCUUUCACCUGUUCUUGUUCUACCUCUACAGGCUUCAAGGGUCUUACCACAUAGUGGAAGUGGUAGGGUCCGCGUCAACUUCGUUUGAAACCGUUAAUACGUUUACGGUAGUUCACCAGGUCACGGACCGGGUUGUUGUUUGAACUUGUAUCCUUACCUGAUGACCCGUUUAUGUCGGUCGAGGAGAGGACGUAACGUACCAUUUCACUGGGGUUGACGUUAAGGUCCCCGACACCGGGGUUGUCUCGGCACCUACGUCCUACUUGCACUUGACUUUUCCGUCUUUUCUUUCGUCAGUUUGUCCCUAAGACGAGCGUCUAGAUCCGACGCGUUCGUCCGACUUACACUCCUCAACCGAGUCGCGCGACUUCAUAACUUUGUCCUUUUACGAAGUGAAUUUCUACUUCACUCGGCCUAGUCUUUCCUCAUACUACUUGAAGACAGUUUCUUAUCGAGUGAAUUCCUAUUACAACCUCUGUUUGUUGUGUUUUGACUACUCCGUCCUGAACUGUUAUUCGACGUUGUAAGACCACUACUGUCGGUCUUCCUGUGAUUAACUCGAUAGUACGUUACGAUAGUCUAAUAUCGGGAUUGAUCUAACAACGACCGCGUCAACAUCAUACGCAUAACUGAGGUAUGAAUAACGUAAAUUAAUAAUGGUCCAGCACCAUUUAGAAUUACGGUCGGAGCACACGACCAAGGACAAAGUGUGUACAGAACCGAAUAGAAAAUCUUCAGUUCUAUACUGACUUUUACAUCCAACACUUGGUCAAGUGACAUAGACAAUCUUUAACAACCAUGAAAGUUGAAAUGUCUAGACAUAACGACUAACAAUAACAAUACAUAUGGACUUCUUUAUAGUUAGAAAAUUAUCAGUCCAACGGCAAACCGAUCCGAACUGACCACACAUCCAAUACAAUUUAUACUUACAUAGUUAGAAAGGGUGUGUAAACUAUACUAUAUCACGUUUACCUCCUGAAGACGAAACGCCUCACAGUUGCAACAUUGAUAGUCUCUGAUAGAAAAAAACAAAGUUUAAAAGUCAAAACGAAGAAAGUUAAGUGGACUCAACACGACACCCAUACGAUUUAAAACCUCACCCCUAGUCUUAUAAGCAAAGAUCGACACGAAUACGAUUUAAAACCUCACCACUAGUCUUAUAAGCAAAGUUCGAGUAUUUGACGAAACGGUAUACGUGACAACCAUUUUUUAUGCGCAAGAAUUAAGAGUGUCUAUUGUUAGACAAAACUGGAAAUACCCAACCCUCAUCAUAAAUCGAAUUUAAAACACUAACGGUACUAGGUUUAUUUUACAAAUGGUAAGCCGUGGAGAGGAAUUGUCAACAUAAGUCAAACACACGUCCUUACUUCAAGAUCCUUGUACUACCUUUAAAGAGAGUACCUUAUGCGGCACGAAUCGUAUCAUGAGGUCUUUCUCAAGAAAAUAGGUAUUGUUCGGUUUUGCGAUCAUCCAACUUGAUCAGCAACUCCUUGCCUCUGUAUAGACAACUCGUACCUAGACGGGGACCUAGGAUCUUUUACCUCUUGUAGUUUUGAUAGUAGUUCCAUCAUGUUCUACUAGCUCCAACAUUACGUGUUGACAGACUCAAGACACCCGUAAGACGACUAAGGUCUCAUCCUGAAGACCGUCUUGGGAGUGCGACGCUCUACAAACGUCGUUUUCGACCGAGAUCACGAUAUCAACAACCUCGACAUAUCCUCCCCGUACGACUUGAUAAGGAGAAGCACAGUGACAACCGGAAUUUUCAGGUAGAUAAGGCACCGUGGACUUCAAGGAGUCGCCGUCUAAAGACCUGACCACUCGAGUUACAACAAGUUCAUUUCGAAGACCACGAGGGACAACCAAUGACAUUAGUAGACCAAACACACCAAACACGCUUCAUAGUAAGGCAACCCUUCGGCCGACUCCAGUAACUUGUACUCUCCGCGACCCUACCUCACGGCGCCGGCCUCACAUCCGUCAUGGUCUUCCUUCAAACAAGAACUACACCUAGUAGGGUGCCAGUAGAGGUACCUGGGAGGCAACAGAAUAGUUCGUGGUUCACCUGGCUACUGUUCUCGAGCACGCCUGUAAGCCGGAUCCCGGGCCUGUAGACCCCAGAAAGCAGCCCGGGGGGUUGGGAGUGAACCGUGGAUACGUACGUGUUGGCCCGGUCUCCGAAGUACAUAGGGGGGAGGAGAGAAUAAAGCACCUUGUGAUAUAUAUCUUGGGGGAGGUAGAUCAAUCCUAGUCGUUUCUAAUAACAAUUUGAUAUUCAUACUCGAGUUAUACGUUCAACAUAAGUAGAGAGUGUC
rnacentral:rRNA from 1 species